rnacentral:lncRNA from 10 species
CAACAACAUCUUAAUUGUUUCAGAAAUGUCUUCCUACAUUCUCAUAGGGCAAUUAAGAAUAUUGCUGGUUGGGCACAGUGGCUCAUGCCUGUAAUCCUAGCACUUUGGGAGGCCAAGGCAAGUGGAUCACCAGAGGUCAGGAGUUUGAGAGCAGCCUGACCAAUACGGUGAAACCCCGUCUCUACUAAAAAUACAAAAAUUAGCCGGGCGUGGUGGCAUGGGCCUGUAAUCCCAGCUACUUGGGAGGCUGAGGCAGGAAAAUCGCUUGAACUCGAGAGGCAGAGGUUGCAGCAAGGCGAGAUCACGCCACUGCACUCCAGCCUGAGCAACAGAGUGAGACUUUGUCUCAAAAAAAAAAAAAAAAAGAAAGAAAGAAAGAAAAAAGAAUAUUGCUAACCUCUCUUUGCCUGCUGCCAUCCACAUAAGAUGUGACUUGCUCCCCCUUGCCUUCCGCCACGAUUGUGAGGACUCCCCAGCCAUGUGGAGCUGCCACUCUGGCUACAAUAUGAAGAGCAGAUUGUGGGAGCCAUAGCAAGAUUAGUUAAGAGACACCAGCAAUAGUCCAGGAAGAAAGGAUGGACCCUUCCCUAGGAUGUGGAGAGAAGCUGAUGGAUUUGAAACACAUUUUGGAGGUUUCUGCCAGUGCCAUUGAACCCUGACCCUUUAUGCAAUAUCCAGGGUGAUCUGAGGCUCCCAGCCACCCCUAGCUCCAGGGUCCACACAUGUCGUGGCUCCCACUGAACCCCAGAGAAGACAGAAACUCAAAGGAGACCAGAGAGUUUCUGCAAGCUGGAAAGAUGUCGAAUGGACACUGAGGUGGGGAGUGCUAGAAGAUGGGAACAGACACCUGCAAGUUUUUGCCACCAGCACCAACUUGUAGAUUCAAGUUUGAGCCCUCAUUUGCAAAUGUCUGUGUAAAAGACUCAAUCUCCCAUCACCUCAACGGGACAUGACUUGGCUGGCAGGACAAAGCAUCCUGAGGAGAAAAGUAGCUUGCCCAGGACUUCACAGGAAACUUACAGGAGCCCUAAGUGGGCCACACUGCUCAGAGGGAGGAGGACUAUGUGGAGAGCAGGGAUCCCACAGCCACACCAAGGCAACUGCAGAGGCACUCUAUGUGCUGGAACAGCUGAACCACAAGAGGAGUUCCCUGAAGCUCUUGCCUCUGGCCAAAACUGCUCAAAUGACAGGGGUUGGGGAGUUAGUCUGAGGAUGAGACUGAUAUACUGAAGAGGCAGAGCAGAAACAUGAAAAGAACCAGAAUCCUUGGAAAUAUCAUUGGGCUGCUGAAUUUACCAGCCCUGAACCCACCCUGCCUCAUGACUUCUUACCAUGUGAAAAUGUUUCUUCGUAUUGUUUUAACAAAUUCUAUGCUACAAUGCUACUUUUGAAAGGACCAAAGGAUUCAUCUUGUUUUGGAUUCAUAGCUCAUCCCACUAGAGAGAGAGAAUGAAGGCAAGGAGAAUGUAAGAACUCAGAAGGCAAGAAGAGAAGCUGGCAUUAGAAUGCGGUUGAACAAGAGAAAGAGUUGGAGAUGCUGAGUUCUGGAGGCAGAUCUACCUAAGGAGAGCUGGAAUUGACCUGGAUCCUUGUGGGAAAUACUUCAGUGAUGGAUGGAAGCAGAGGGAGAAAGGACCAAAAUGAAGCCAGGAGGGACAAGAUGGCUGGAAUGUUUGGUUCUGAGGAUUCAUGAUUGUCCUUAACUCACACGGACUGAACUCUCGCUUGCCUGUCUUCCUGGGGCUUGUGUAAGAACAUCCUGCAGAAAAGUAUUAACAACGCGAGUGAUCUUCACUGUGUUUAACGAUUCAUUGAUUGUAAAAGAUGUUUUACCUGGGAUAACAAUGAGUGUGUAUUCCUGGAGCCUAAACUCACUGACCUGGAAGGGGGCCCCGAGAAGUGUGCUAAGUGGACAAAGGAAGCCUGGCUAGAGUUUAUAGUUUUCUAACUAGAUAAUUGAGUGAACUAAAAGGUCUUUUAUUAUCCUUAUGUGGAUUACGUACUUUGCAGGAUAUGCAUAGUCAUUAUUAAAACCAUGUGUACUCCUGUCUCACUUCUGAGCACCUUCUCUGAAAUCAGUCCAUAUAUGCUCAGGAAUGCAAACCACACUCAUUUCAGAGUCAGUGUCAACAAACAUAAUUAAGGAGGCAAAUUUACUUCAUAAGUUUUCUAAUGCCUUCUGCAUUAAAUAGAAAUGACUUUUGGCUGCUCCCAUCUAUUCAUGUGUAUAAUUGUUAAGUUCAGAUCUGAUUUUCCUGGAAGAACAAGUUUGAAUCUCAACAGGCUUGAUCUAGUCUCCCAUCUCCAUGUUCCCCAUAGUGACAGGUAAUUCAUGGAAAUUACUGUCUCAGCAUUUUAAAUAAACCUCCUUUAAGCUGAAAUCAAGAUGAUCUCAUAUAGAAAAGAGUGUAGGUAAAACUCAUAUUUAAGAAAUGGUACAGAGUGAGCAGAAAUUCUCACAGAAUUUUUGAGUCAGAAAUAUUUUUGUUAUACGGGAAAAAGGGACUUGCAGUUGUGCUCUUGAUUAUAAAAAGAAAGGAAAUCAAAUAGCUUUGAAAUGUUCCAUUAAAACCUUAUUUUAAUAUAUUCUUGCCACAAUGUAAGGACCUAUGUAAACUAAGUAAAAUUUCAUGACUCACACUGAGUUGCAUUUUGUAUCAUUUUCUUGUCUUCAUUGCUAUUUCUUUUCUUUUCUUUUUUUUUUUUUUUUCUCGAGACAGAGUCUCACUUUGUUGCCAGGCUGGAGUGCAGUAGCGUGAUCUCAGCUGACUGCAAUCUCCACCUCCCAGGUUCAAG